rnacentral:rRNA from 1 species
AGCGAACGCUGGCGGCAGGCCUAACACAUGCAAGUCGAACGAACCUUUCGGGGUUAGUGGCGGACGGGUGAGUAACACGUGGGAACGUGCCUUUAGGUUCGGAAUAACUCAGGGAAACUUGUGCUAAUACCGAAUGUGCCCUUCGGGGGAAAGAUUAAUCGCCUUUAGAGCGGCCCGCGUCUGAUUAGCUAGUUGGUUGAGGUAAUGGCUCACCAAGGCGACGAUCAGUAGCUGGUCUGAGAGGAUGAUCAGCCACAUUGGGACUGAGACACGGCCCAAACUCCUACGGGAGGCAGCAGUGGGGAAUCUUGCGCAAUGGGCGAAAGCCUGACGCAGCCAUGCCGCGUGAAAGAUGAAGGUCUUAGGAUUGUAAAAUUCUUUCACCGGGGACGAUAAUGACGGUACCCGGAGAAGAAGCCCCGGCUAACUUCGUG